rnacentral:rRNA from 1 species
GACCCUUCGGGAGCUUGCACAGGUGCUGCAUGGCUGUCGUCAGCUCGUGUCGUGAGAUGUUCGGUUAAGUCCGCUAACGAGCGCAACCCUCGUCGUGUGUUAUACGUGUCACACGAUACUGCCGGUAUCAAGCCGGAGGAAGGUGGGGAUGAUGUCAAGUCAGCAUGGCCUUUAUAUCCUGGGCUACACACACGCUACAAUGGCAGAUACAAUAGGUUGCGAAACCGCGAGGUGGAGCCAAUCCUCAAAGUCUGUCUCAGUUCAGAUUGUAGGCUGCAACUCGCCUGCAUGAAGUUGGAGUUGCUAGUAAACGCAGGUCAGCUAUACUGCGUUGAAUACGUUCCCGGGGUUU